UAGCGAGUCGGUCCCACCCCUUCCCAUCCCGAACAGGACCGUGAAACGACUCUGCGCCAAUGAUAGUGCUGCAACCAGUGUGAAAGUAGGUUAUCGUCAGGCU
rnacentral:rRNA from 1 species